CAAACCGAUAACGGGUACGGGCUAUGGAAGUAGGAGCCCGGAGAUGGAUUCUGAGACAUAAAUCCAGGUACUACGGUAUGCCGCAGGCGAGAAACCUUUUCAAUCUGCUACCGCAGGAAAAGGGAACCCAGAGUGUUCUUGUUUUACAAGAACUUUUGUCUUCUGUAAACGGGAAGACGAAUAAGGGGUGGGUAAGACGGGUGCCAGCCGCCGCGGUAAUACCCGCACCCCGAGUGAUAGCCACGGUUAUUGGGUCUAAAGCGUCCGUAGCCGAUUUAGCAAGUCCCUAGUGAAAUCUUUCAGCAAACUGAGAGGCGUGCUAGGGAUACUGCCAGAUUUGAGACCGGGAGAGGGUAGGGGUACUCUCAGGGUAGGGGUGAAAUCCUGUAAUCCUGAGGGACCACCUGUGGCGAAGGCGCCUACCUGGAACGGGUCUGACGGUGAGGGACGAAAGCUAGGGGAGCGAUCGGGAUUAGAUACCCCGGUAGUCCUAGCCGUAAACUUUGCCCUCUUGGUGUUGCAAGCUUCUCGGGAGCUUGCAGUGCCGGAGCGUAGGUGUUAAGAGGGCCACCUGGGGAGUACGACCGCAAGGUUGAAACUUAAGGGAAUUGGCGGGGGAGCACACAAGGGGUGGGCGUUGCGGUUCAAUUGGAUUCAACGC
rnacentral:rRNA from 1 species